CCUACGGGUGGCAGCAGUGAGGAAUAUUGGUCAAUGGCCGUGAGGCUGAACCAGCCAAGUCGCGUGAAGGAAGACGGCUCUACGGUUUGUAAACUUCUUUUAUAGGGGAAUAAAGGUAUCCACGUGUGGAUAUUUGCAUGUACCCUAUGAAUAAGCAUCGGCUAACUCCGUGCCAGCAGCCGCGGUAAUACGGAGGAUGCGAGCGUUAUCCGGAUUUAUUGGGUUUAAAGGGUGCGUAGGUGGUUUUUUAAGUCAGCGGUGAAAGUUUGUGGCUCAACCGUAAAAUUGCAGUUGAUACUGGCAGACGUGAGUGUGUUUGAGGUAGGCGGAAUUCGUGGUGUAGCGGUGAAAUGCAUAGAUAUCACGCAGAACUCCGAUUGCGAAGGCAGCUUACUAAGCCGUAACUGACACUGAAGCACGAAAGUGUGGGGAUCAAACAGGAUUAGAUACCCGAGUAGUC
rnacentral:rRNA from 1 species